rnacentral:rRNA from 1 species
UACGAAGGGUGCAAGCGUUAAUCGGAAUUACUGGGCGUAAAGCGCGCGUAGGUGGUUUUGUAAGUUGAAGGUGAAAUCCCCGGGCUCAACCUGGGAACUGCCUCCAAAACUGCAUGACUAGAGUACGGUAGAGGGUAGUGGAAUUUCCUGUGUAGCGGUGAAAUGCGUAGAUAUAGGAAGGAACACCAGUGGCGAAGGCGACUACCUGGACUGAUACUGACACUGAGGUGCGAAAGCGUGGGGAGCAAACAGG